UACCCCACCGCCAAAAUUCCCAACAUGAUAAAGUUGUCAUCACGGUAUUCUUCAACAAGUUCAAGUGAAAAUAUCCAUACCUUUCAAAUGUCUUAUCUUCCACUUCACAAUGUUCACUGUUGCAAAACUUCUGUCAUUUAAUAUGUUCUUGAUUCUUGAAACCUGCAAAAGUAAGUUUAGUCUAUUAACCAUUCUCACAGAUUGAUGAGUACCACAGAUUGCUUUGACGGUACGAUAUGAACUAAGAAAAUGAGUCACAUUAGAGUAUCUAGUUAAAGGAAUAUAAGUAGGCAAACACAUUUCUACAUCAUAUACAUUAGCAAGGAUUAACAUAAGUUAGGUAGAUUGCUUAUCCUACAAAAAUAAAAUCACACAUUUACUAACAUAUAUAAAUAUAUAUAAGUGGCUUACAGAUGAUAAAUAACUUUAAUACGUGAUCAAUAUUAUUCACAUAUUCCUUAGCUGAAUCAGAGAACAUGUAACAGUCUAUAUGUAAUGUGGUCUCUGUCUGAAUAUGUCACGUCUUCACCUCCCUGCAUGACAUCAGCUGCAAUCGCCAAUUUUGACGAGGUUGUGAAAUAUUUCUGCUGUAGGAAUAUUACGUCCACUGGGAUAUCCAUUGUCACACUGCCUUAUCUAGGCAUGGUAGGCAAACACAUAUUCCAUACACGACGUAGGUAUACUUCCUAAUACACACUGUCGAAAUCCCCGCGGCUCCCAAUAUGGCCUGUAUGAAUUGUAAUCGGCAAAACUCGUCUCUUUCCGUAACUGCUUCAGAAAUGACCGUUCGUGAUUCGUGACCAACUCGUGUUAAUCCGGGACGAGCAAGUCUACCCAUAAUUUCCUGUAUGGCCAAGGGCGCCAUUUUGGAACACAAAUGUAAACAAACACUCAAACCUUGUGUAAUCGAUGUACACCGUGAUGCUUGAUUGCGAUAUGCUUACCUCGUGUAUCGAUACAUUGUUCUCAAUCACUUCUAACACGGAAAUCCCGGUCUAAAUCCAUCUGAGCCAUUCACAACGAGGACGUCAAGUAUUUCAAAAACUCGAUUGACAGCCGAAGGAAGAGCAGCUUGCGGAUGCCACAGGUACGUAGCAGGGCUUCGGGACAUAAUGUUCCUUAAUUUCUAUACAGAGAUCUUAUGGAAUGGAUUGAUUUAGAUAUUUUCCUGAUCUCCAUGUUACUACUGUAAACGUCAAGGGCCUUUUAGUUUUGUUGUUUUCGGAAACCUUUUUUUUAUUAUUAUGAUCAAGUGUUUGUUGUGACAUGGGAUUUGGGCUUGCAUACGAGUUGCAGGUGUAGGACUUUUAAGGGUUGUGUCCUUAUUCUCAACAUAACGCUGGGAUUUGAUGAUAAGGGUUAGUUACCAAGGGUAUAAAUCUGGCAAAGUGCAUGUCAAACAAAACGUGGCAUUCAAUUCCAAUCAUGUGUUGCCACCUGAACCAACUGAAAGUGAGAUAUGGAUUACAAUGAAUAAUGGCAGCUUAUCAAUCUUUAACAAAUUCACACUGAAACUUUGAAAGGAUUAAGACAAGUUAGUUAUUUUCUGUUUCAGUAUGUUCAGGGUUUGUGGGGAGGUUCAAAGACAUCCUCAGGGAGGAUACGAAGUAAUGAAAUAUCCGGAUGAAUAAAAGAGACAGUCAUAUGUGCAGCAUCAAUGCAAAGAAAGACCAUAGAAGAGAAGCAAUGAGGAAGAAGAGAAGAGCAACAAAACUGAAGUCCUGCUUGAGAUCCCUGGAUGAGUACUCCAGGUGGACAAUCUGGAAGGACCAGACAAGGGAGUACUUAACAGAGAUUGCACCCCUUCAGAUAUCAGAGGUGAUUUGCAGACAGCAGGCUUGUCUGGCUAAUGUGAGAAGACCAACCAAUGCCAAGCUUGAGUGGGAUCGUUCCAGGACAUUCAAGAAAUUCUUGUCUUGAGCCAUGUGGUAAACACCUGAAAGGAAUGAUAAAUGGGACUUAUUGUCUUUAAAUGUGGACCCAAAAACCAAAUGGAAAGUUCACAAUUCUUCUAACACUAUGCAGCAGAGAUAGAGUCCAACUGGUAUCCCCUCAUCCUGGUUCCUGUUCAUCCAUGGCAAUAUAGAAAGAAAAGGAGGAUUGAUGGAGAGUAAGUUCUCUGAACUGGUGAACAUUAUCCUUAGGUGCUGUCAAGCGAACAGUUAUCACACUCAGUUAUGAGUAUUGAAGAAUAGGAUGAAUUUGCUUACUGCAUCAGGAACUAUCAUGUGAACACUGUUCAGUGUGCGAUAUACUAUAGGCAUAUGAAUAAAAGAAAUUGAUAAUUUGA
rnacentral:lncRNA from 1 species